UAAUGUAUGGGGAUCUGCCCCGAUAGAGGGGGAUAACUACUGGAAACGGUGGCUAAUACCGCAUAAUGUCUACGGACCAAAGCAGGGGCUCUUCGGACCUUGCACUAUCGGAUGAACCCAUAUGGGAUUAGCUAGUAGGUGGGGUAAAGGCUCACCUAGGCGACGAUCUCUAGCUGGUCUGAGAGGAUGAUCAGCCACACUGGGACUGAGACACGGCCCAG
rnacentral:rRNA from 1 species